rnacentral:pre_miRNA from 1 species
UUUAUACUCCCUCCGUCCCAAAAUAAGUGACUCAACUUUGUAUUAAAGUUAGUACAAAGUUGAGUCACUUAUUUUGGGACGGAGGGAGUAUAUC